rnacentral:tRNA from 1 species
GCUGAAGUGGUGAAACUGGUAGACACACUGUCUUGAGGGGGCAGUAAGAAGAAAUUCUUAUAGGGGUUCAAGUCCCCUCUUCAGCA